ACAUAGGAUUGAUUUAAUUAGCACAAUCAUGCUUAAGAUGGUACAUGUACAGAGAAAAUACAGCUAUCUGGACGGAUUUUUGUGUUAUGUACAUGUAUAAAGUGAACCAUUAUACAUGUAUUUGGCAUCAUGAGAAAUAAAUAACAUUUCAUUGAACUAAAAACCAUCAAAUUGUAAAGACUGUGCAAGUACAUAGACACCAUCUUGAAUGCAACAUUUUAAACGAAAACAUCUAAAUAAAAACAACUCAAUUAAAAAUAAUUAACAGAGCGUAGCAUAGGAUGAAUGUAAAACCACAGUAACAAAAUAUCAAUAUUUUACCUCGAAUAUUUAAUGUAAUAUUUAAAAGAGUGUUUCAUUAGAUGAAUGUAAAACCACAGUAACAAAGUAUCAAUAUUUUAACUCAAAUAUUAAAUACAUUAUUUAACCAUACAUGGGUUCACUCUGUGGUUAAAGUUCAAAUUUAAAGCAUUUUUACAACAAUAUCGCAUAAACAAAACAAAACAUAAAAACAAGCACCAGAGUCUGUGACAAAUACUAGCAUGGUAACAUCUGUUACCUCAGAGGUGGACUUUGUAGAUACUCCACAAUUCAGCAAAUAUAUACAAACCCAAUGUAAACAAAUAAGAGAGUAGAUGUAGAAAUAAAACUGUAUAACCUUCAAAAUAUUAACUGCCACAAGGAUAUUCUUUUAUGUCUAUAAAAUAUAUUCUGUACCCUGAAACACCAAAGCUUGAUUGUCAUGGAAGAAAAAAAGAUACCUGUAUUUACUGAAAAUCACCUUUUUGUCCACUUUAUUUUAUGAUCCAAUCCAUUUCAUUAUUGUUUAUAGUUACUUAUGGAAUACAAGUUAGGAAUGAGUCUCCUCAUUAAAUAUAUGUAAAGUAAAAAUUAACAUCUCAUGAAAAUAACAUGAUUAAUAUUAUUUACGUGUAAAAUGUGUAAGUAUUUCUUAGGUAUUCUUGGAAGAUGAAAUUUCAUUGAUUGAUGAAAAUCUGCAUGUCAACCAUGCUUAUUCAGGAAUUCAACUUAAAAACAAAGU